rnacentral:lncRNA from 1 species
CAAAAUUCAGAGGCGUUCAGGAGUGCAGAUUUUAAAGAAUGGCUGUGCUUCACUGGGCAAAUAUUCAAGAACACUACAGAGGCAGCUAAGUAGAUCCUCCUCACUGCUUUCACUGCCAUAAGAUUUUCCAAACACUAGGUAAUUCUGGAUUUCCUGAGAAGAAGUAUGGCACAAAAGCUGUAUACAGUGAAGGAUGUCUGGGCAUGGAGGAAUUAAUGGACACACCAGGCGUAGACAAUCCACAUUUAACCAAGAUUUUCCAGGCUGCAUCAAUGCAUGAAGGGACGUUAUGAGAACACAUUGCCUUAGCUUCACAUAGGAAUGCCAUUACAGAAUUAAGAUUUAAG